rnacentral:rRNA from 1 species
AUUGAACGCUGGCGGCAUGCCUUACACAUGCAAGUCGAACGGUAACAGGUCUUCGGAUGCUGACGAGUGGCGAACGGGUGAGUAAUACAUCGGAACGUGCCCGAUCGUGGGGGAUAACGGAGCGAAAGCUUUGCUAAUACCGCAUACGAUCUACGGAUGAAAGCAGGGGACCGCAAGGCCUUGCGCGGACGGAGCGGCCGAUGGCAGAUUAGGUAGUUAGUGGGAUAAAAGCUUACCAAGCCGACGAUUUGUAGCUGGUCUAAGAGGACGACCAGCCACACUGGGACUGAGACACGGCCCAGACUCCUACGGGAGGCAGCAGUGGGGAAUUUUGGACAAUGGGCGAAAGCCUGAUCCAGCCAUGCCGCGUGCAGGAUGAAGGCCUUCGGGUUGUAAACUGCUUUUGUACGGAACGAAAAGCCUCUUUCUAAUAAAGAGAGGUCAUGACGGUACCGUAAGAAUAAGCACCGGCUAACUACGUGCCAGCAGCCGCGGUAAGAC